UUUGGUGAUGAUGGCGGAAGGGUUCCACGCGUACCCAUACCGAACACGACCGUUAAGCCUUCCAGCGCCGAUGGUACUU
rnacentral:rRNA from 1 species